rnacentral:rRNA from 1 species
AGCGGCGGACGGGUGAGUAAUGCCUGGGAAAUUGCCCUGAUGUGGGGGAUAACCAUUGGAAACGAUGGCUAAUACCGCAUAAUAGCUUCGGCUCAAAGAGGGGGACCUUCGGGCCUCUCGCGUCAGGAUAUGCCCAGGUGUGAUUAGCUAGUUGGUGAGGUAAUGGCUCACCAAGGCGACGAUCUCUAGCUGGUCUGAGAGGAUGAUCAGCCACACUGGAACUGAGACACGGUCCAGACUCCUACGGGAGGCAGCAGUGGGGAAUAUUGCACAAUGGGCGCAAGCCUGAUGCAGCCAUGCCGCGUGUAUGAAGAAGGCCUUCGGGUUGUAAAGUACUUUCAGCAGUGAGGAAGGUGGGUAUGUUAAUAGCAUAUUCAUUUGACGUUAGCUGCAGAAGAAGCACCGGCUAACUCCGUGCCAGCAGCCGCGGUAAUACGGAGGGUGCGAGCGUUAAUCGGAAUUACUGGGCGUAAAGCGCAUGCAGGUGGUUUGUUAAGUCAGAUGUGAAAGCCCGGGGCUCAACCUCGGAAUUGCAUUUGAAACUGGCAAA